AUUUUGAAGUGGAAGGCCUUACUAUCACGAUGGCAGACAUAAAUAACUUGAUUCUCCUCAUGUCGAAGAUUCAAGGGGAACUAGACGAGACAAAACGGAAAUUAAAACAAGAGGAAGCAGAAAAAGAACGCGCUUUAACUCGACUCAGUUCCAUAGCUGGGGCGAAGUUGGCUCAUAAUAAUCCAGGACUGACUGAUCUAUCGGACAAAUACAGGCCGCAAAAAAUCGGAGAACAUUUCAGCGAACUGUACGACAAUGAGUGGACGGAGGCUGUCCAUCAGCUGACUGGGGGCAGGGACGAGGAAAUGGCCAUUCAGAUGAUCAGGGAUGUUCUCAAGUUUGUUGCCAACAAAACGAAGUGCUGGGCUGACAAACAGUACAAGAAUUUACAAGAGGCAUUGUUCCAGGUAUAUACACCCAUUGAUAAGCGUUUUUCGUUUGAUUAUUUUUGCAUGUAGGCAAAUUCUUCUGAUGUACGAAUACAGUACUAUUUCAAUUAUGGUUAUACUUAAACUUAUCACCGGCAAGAUAUUUUUUAUAAAAAUUGCAGAGAGACCUGAGAGAUUCAGAAGCAGGUCGCUUCAUAACAACUUACAAGAAAAUCUCCGAACUUCAAAAGGAGGUGGCUGUUUUAUCUAUAUCUAAUGCCAAAAAGUGGCUGAAAGAGAACGAGGAAUUCGUAUCAAAGUACAAAGACGUCUUGUUACACUGUGAACCAUUUAUAGACAGGAGUAUAGAGGUCUGCUGGAUGAUGCAAAUCCAAGAUCCGCCCAUGUAUUUACAAUUUGAUUCAACGAAGAAUAUAGACAAAAGCCUGUUCAGACUCUUCACUAAAAACGGCAGAAGCCUCGAUUUCGUUGUAUGGCCAGCGCUCUUGCUACAUGAAAAUGGACCUCUUGUUCAAAAAGGUGUGGUCCAGCCAAUGAAAGAGAAUUCCUCUAAAAAAGAAGCAUCUUAAAAGCAAUAGAUAAAUUUUGUAACAGUCAGUAGUUAAAACACUUACAAUACCGUCGCUGGCCGACGUACAGGCUGUAUUCUAGUCAAAUUGUGUUCAGUUGAAAAAUCUUGACUAUAGUUUUUACGUCUGAUGAUACAUAAAAAUAUAUUUGGGUAUUUAUAAAUCAACAUAUCAUUUUUUGAAUUUUUACCAUAUUCAUUUUUUCAUUUGUUUAUACAUUAAACUUGUAUUGCAUUGUGUAUUUAUAAACUAUUUAAAAUUAGUAUAUUUGCAGGGUUUUAUUUACCGUUAUUGUUUUUUUUUCUAUCUUACGUUGAAGUUUUAAUUGGAAUAAAUCUCAACUUUAAAAAAAGUUUUAUAU
rnacentral:misc_RNA from 1 species